UACGGAAGGGGCAAGCGUUGUUCGGAAUCAUUGGGCGUAAAGGGCGCGUAGGUGGUUCUGUAUGUCUACCGUGAAAGCAUACAGCUCAACUGUAUUUUGUCGGUAGAAACUGCAGGACUUAAGGCUGGGAGGGGCUGGUGGAAUUCCCUGUGUAGCGGUGAAAUGCGUAGAGAUGGGGGGAGAACACUCGUGGCGAAGGCGGCCAGCUAGACCAGUUCUGACACUGAGGCGCGACAGCGUGGGGAGCAAACAGG
rnacentral:rRNA from 1 species